rnacentral:rRNA from 1 species
AGUGAACGCUGGCGGUAGGCCUAACACAUGCAAGUCGAACGGCAGCACAGUAAUAGCUUGCUCUUACGGGUGGCGAGUGGCGGACGGGUGCGGAAUACAUCGGAAUCUACUUUUUCUUGGGGGAUAACGUAGGGAAACUUACGCUAAUACCGCAUACGACCUACGGGUGAAAGCAGGGGAUCUUCGGACCUUGCGCGAUUGAAUGAGCCGAUGUCGGAUUAGCUAGUUGGCGGGGUAAAGGCCCACCAAGGCGACGAUCCGUAGCUGGGCUGAGAGGAUGAUCAGACACACUGGAACUGAGACACGGUCCAGACUCCUACGGGAGGCAGCAGUGGGGAAUAUUGGACAAUGGGCGCAAGCCUGAUCCAGCCAUACCGCGUGGGUGAAGAAGGCCUUCGGGUUGUAAAGCCAUUUUGUUGGGAAAGAAAAGCAGCAGGUUAAUACCCCGCUGUUCUGACGGUACCCAAAGAAUAAGCACCGGCUAACUUCGUG